CAUAAACAUACUCCCGUCAGGAGUCAGGGCCUUCGGGCUGGUGGACACACGGAGGUGCUGUGCUCUCUCACACUGUGUCCUUCACGUGUCUUCCAGCCAGCUGUCCCCCAGCUGUGUCCUUCAUAAUAAACCAGUAUUCUAGCAAGAGAACUGUUUUUCAGACUUCUUGCAGAAGGGGACACUCCUACCAAACAACAACCACCUUCACCCUCCCUUCUUGCAAGUCAAAGAUGUCAACUUGAAUGGAAAGAGUCUUACAAUCGACUCAAGUUGCCCCUGCAAACAAAUCGAGUUGUAAAUGGAACUUCGCUCCUGCCCACAGUCAAGUGGCCACUCCUCUCCUCGCAGCCUCGGGUCACCCUGAAUACUCUGUUCCUGUGACUUGGCCUACUGCAGCUACUUGAGUUAAGUAGAAUCACACAGUAUUUGUCUUCCACUGCUGGCCUCCUUCACUUAGCUAAGCUUUCAAGAUCCACUCAUGCUGCAGCACAUAUCAAAGCCCACUCCUGCUGGGGAUGGACAGGUGGGCCAGCUGGCUACUUCCAGGCUCUUGUGAGCAGUGCUGUGAUGAGUCUUCAGUUCUGGGCAGUGGACGCCGAGGUGUGGGGCUGCUACAAUAGUGAUUACAAUCACCACCUUGAGGGGCAUUGGACUGCUCACUGUGGCAGAGCUAGACACUCCCAUGGGCCAGGAACACGCGCUGCAGGUCUCCACGUUCUUGGCUUACAGCCCGAAGUGAAGGGACAGUUCAGUACACUCUCAUCAUCCUGGUAACUAACUAAAGGUGCUAUCUUUCCAUGUGCUUAAUGGCUGUGUGUCUUUUUUUCAAAGAAACAUCUGUUUAAGUCCUUUUCCCCUACUUUAAUCACACUGCUCAACAUUUUCUCUGAGUUACAAAUGUUCUGAUAUAUCUGGAUAUUGAGUCCUAUCGGACACAUUUCCCAUCCUGUAAACUGCAGUUUUGCUUUCUGAAAAAUGUCCUUUGCUACAAAAAAGUUUAAUUUUUAUUAACUUUUAAUUUUUAUUAUUUUUCU